rnacentral:rRNA from 1 species
CCCUUAGAUGUUCUGGGCCGCACGCGCGCUACACUGACGAAUGCAACGAGCUUAUAACCUUGGCCGAAAGGUCUGGGUAAUCUCCAAAUUUCGUCGUGAUGGGGAUAGAUUAUUGCAAUUAUUAAUCUUCAACGAGGAAUGCCUAGUAAGCGCAAGUCAUCAGCUUGCGUUGAUUACGUCCCUGCCCUUUGUACACACCGCCCGUCGCUCCUACCGAUUGAAUGGUCCGGUGAAGCGUUCGGACCGUGGCCUUUGGACGGUUCGCUGUCAGCUUUGCUGCGGGAAGUUCAUUAAACCUUAUCAUUUAGAGGAAGGAGAAGUCGUAACA